rnacentral:rRNA from 1 species
UCCACGCCCUAAACGAUGUACACUAGUUGUUGCGAUACUAGAUAUUGCAGUAAUGCACCUAACGGAUUAAGUGUACCGCCUGGGGAGUACGGUCGCAAGAUUAAAACUCAAAGGAAUAGACGGGGACCCGCACAAGCGGUGGAGCAUGUGGUUUAAUUCGACGAUACGCGAAGAACCUUACCUGGUCUUGACAUACUAAGAACCUUUAAGAGAUUAGAGGGUGCUAGCUUGCUAGAGCUUAGAUACAGGUGCUGCACGGCUGUCGUCAGCUCGUGUCGUGAGAUGUUGGGUUAAGUCCCGCAACGAGCGCAACCCUCGUGUUUAGUUGCUAACAGUUCGGCUGAGAACUCUAAACAGACUGCCUACGCAAGUAGGAGGAAGGUGAGGACGACGUCAAGUCAUCAUGGCCC